CAGCCGCCGCGGGAAUACGUAGGGCGCAAGCGUUAUCCGGAAUUAUUGGGCGUAAAGAGCUCGUAGGCGGUUUGUCGCGUCUGCCGUGAAAGUCCGGGGCUCAACCCCGGAUCUGCGGUGGGUACGGGCAGACUAGAGUGAUGUAGGGGAGACUGGAAUUCCUGGUGUAGCGGUGAAAUGCGCAGAUAUCAGGAGGAACACCGAUGGCGAAGGCAGGUCUCUGGGCAUUAACUGACGCUGAGGAGCGAAAGCAUGGGGAGCAAACAGGAUUAGAUACCCCAGUAGUCCCUGUCUCUUAUAC
rnacentral:rRNA from 1 species